rnacentral:rRNA from 1 species
UACGGGGGGGGUAAGCGUUGUUCGGAAUUACUGGGCGUAAAGGGCUCGUAGGCGGCCAACUAAGUCGGACGUGAAAUCCCUCAGCUUAACUGGGGAACUGCGUCCGAUACUGGAUGGCUUGGAUUUGGGAGAGGGAUGCGGAAUUCCAGGUGUAGCGGUGAAAUGCGUAGAUAUCUGGAGGAACACCGGUGGCGAAGGCGGCAUCCUGGACCGGUAUUGACGCUGAUGCGCGAAAGCGUGGGGAGCAAACAGG